rnacentral:rRNA from 1 species
GUGGAUUAGAUACCCUGGUAGUCCACGCCGUAAACGAUGGAUACUAGCUGUUGGGCGCAAGUUCAGUGGCUAAGCGAAAGUGAUAAGUAUCCCACCUGGGGAGUACGUUCGCAAGAAUGAAACUCAAAGGAAUUGACGGGGGCCCGCACAAGCGGUGGAGCAUGUGGUUUAAUUCGAUGAUACGCGAGGAACCUUACCAAGGCUUAAAUGUAGAUUGACCGGUUUGGAAACAGACUUUUCGCAAGACAAUUUACAAGGUGCUGCAUGGUCGUCGUCAACU